AACGAACGCUGGCGGCAUGCCUAACACAUGCAAGUCGAACGAAACCUUCGGUUCUGGUGUCCCCCGGUUGCGUAACGCGUGGGAAUCCGCCCUUGGGCUCGGCAUAACAUCUGGAAACGACUGCUAAUCCCGGACGAUUACGUAAGUCCAAAGCUUUAUCGCCCAGGGAUGCGCCUGCGUAGGAUCAGCUUGGUGGGGUGGUAAAGGCCUACCACGGCGACGAUCCUUAGCUGGUCUGAGAGGAUGAUCAGCGACACUGGGACUGAGACACGGCCCCUACUCCUGCGGGAGGUAGCAGUUGUGGAUAUUGGACAAUGGGCGAAAGGCUGCACCAGCGAGUGCGCGUUGACGAUGAAGGCCUUGGGGUUGGAAAGCAGUAGGACCCGGGAUGAUAAUGACAGUACCGGCAGAAUAAGCCCCGGCUAACUACGUG
rnacentral:rRNA from 1 species